CACCUCCACCCUUCAACUCCUCUACAACUCCACCCAUCAACUCCACUACACCUCCACCCUUCACCUCCACUAAAGCUCCACCCUUCAACUCCACUACAGCUCCGACCUUCAACUCCACUACAGCUCCACCCUUCACCUCCACUAAAGCUCCACCCAAAGAUGUUCUGACGAUCCUCACUAAUCUGGAGGUGGAGGUUUUGGCCGAGGAGUCGUCCACUGAAGAAGAGCGUCGAGCUGCACUGCUUCAGGUCGCCACUUUUGUGGAGAAUUACUUAAGAGGGAAUUAUAAUGACAUCAGCUCUUUUGAGGUCACAAGAAUUGAGUCACUAUCACCGUGUGAUUGAGACAGAAAUCAGCCAAGAGGAACAGAUGUGUAUUAACUCUCAUCGCUACUAAUUUGUACUAUUUUAAUAUGAGAUCUGGUUAUUUAUGGUCAUGGUUCAACAAAAACACUGCAAUUACUGAUACAUACAAUGCUUAUAUAUUUAAU